rnacentral:tRNA from 1 species
GCUGGAGUAGCUCAGUGGUCAGAGCUGAUAUUUUGUAAGUAUCGGGCCGAUAUGGAUCUCGCAGGUUCGAAUCCUGUCUCCAGCUCCA